GAUGAACGCUAGCGGCAGGCCUAACACAUGCAAGUCGAGGGGUAACUAGAGUGAUAGCAAUAUUACUUUGGCUAGACCGGCGCACGGGUGCGUAACACGUAUGCAACCUACCUUAUACUUGGGAAUAACUUCGAGAACUCGGCGCUAAUACCACAUAACAUUGCGAAGAGGCAUCUCUUUGCAAUUAAAGCUCCGGCGGUAUAAGAUGGGCAUGCGGCAAAUUAGCUAGUUGGUGAAGUCACGGCUCACCCAGGCUACGAUUGGUAGGGGUUCUGGGACGAUGAUCCCCCACUCUGGUACUGAGACACGGACCAGACUCCUACUGGAGGCAGCAGUGAGGAAUAUUGCGCAAUGGACGAAAGUCUGACGCAGCCAUGCCGCGUGCAGGAUGACGGCCCUAUGGGUUGUAAACUGCUUUUGUACGGGAAUAAACCCUUCUACGUGUAGGAGGCUGAAGGUACCGUAAGAAUAAGCACCGGCUAACUCCGUGCCAGCAGCCGCGGUAACAC
rnacentral:rRNA from 1 species